AUAGUAUACCCACGGUGCACAAUCACGUGGUCUAUGAAGUCACGCCGUAGGUAUCGCGCCGAGCAUUUUUUGUCAACAAAGCGUCGAUUCAAGAAGAAAAUUCGUCGUCCUUUUACUAUCGAACUAGUCGGAAGACUGUUUGCAAUCUGGUAGCAAAUAUGAGCAACGAGCAGAUCCAUACAACGUGCGUUGUACAUUGGAAGACAGGGACCACGACUUUGAUCGCUCAAAGAGAACUAGGGUCUUGUGCAUGAAAAAGGUAGCUAAAGUGAGCCUAGACCAGAAUGCAGUUAAAGGGGAUCCCUUUGUGUUUGAUUGGACAGCAGUGCAAGGCAGAAUGAAAGCAAACUGUGAUCCCUCCGAGUGUUAGAAUUAGACUCGGCAACUGAUGAUACACAGCAUAUUUGCGUGUUAUUUGGCUGCCUUUCGACUAAAAAUUCAAUGGUGCUGACAUAGGACGUUUCUUUCAAAAUUCUAUUUUAGACCUUGUCAUGAGUCAAUAGACCAAGUUUGAAGAAAUUUGUAUGUUGGAAAUUUUAGUUAUUACACAGUUAACUCUCGUAAGCCUUUAAGGCUAUGUAUCAUUAUGUAGACUGG
rnacentral:lncRNA from 1 species